rnacentral:rRNA from 1 species
GUGAGGAAUAUUGGUCAAUGGGCGAGAGCCUGAACCAGCCAUGCCGCGUGCAGGAAGACGGCCCUAUGGGUUGUAAACUGCUUUUGUUUGGGAAGAAAAGGCUCUACGUGUAGGGCACUGACGGUACCAGAUGAAUAAGCAUCGGCUAACUCCGUGCCAGCAGCCGCGGUAAUACGGAGGAUGCGAGCGUUAUCCGGAUUUAUUAGGUUUAAAGGGUGUGUAGGCGGAAGACUAAGUCAGUGGUGAAAUCUCUCGGCUUAACCGGGAAACUGCCAUAGAUACUGGUUUUCUUGAGUACAGUUGAAGUAGGCGGAAUGUGUAAUGUAGCGGUGAAAUGCUUAGAUAUUACACAGAACACCGAUUGCGAAGGCAGCUUGCUAAGCUGUUACUGACGCUGAUGCACGAAAGCGUGGGGAGCGAACAGGAUUAGAAACCCUAGUAGUCC